ensembl:snoRNA
GGGGUGUGCUCAGAGCAGGGGGCCUGAAGAAAUGGCCCCUCUGUUUACAACACACCCAACAGAAAUCUGGGUUCAUUGAGACAAGGGGCACAAAACCUGUGGCCUUGCUAUGAACAAAUACCCUACAUGC